rnacentral:rRNA from 1 species
GACGAACGCUGGCGGCGUGCUUAACACAUGCAAGUCGAACGAAGUGGCGAACGGGUGAGUAACGCGUAAUCAACCUGCCCUUCAGAGGGGGACAACAGUUGGAAACGACUGCUAAUACCGCAUACUGAAGGUGGGGAUUGCGUCUGAUUAGCUAGUUGGAGGGGUAACGGCCCACCAAGGCGGUGAUCAGUAGCAGGACUGAGAGGAGGGACGGCCACAUUGGGACUGGGACCCGGCCCAGACGCAUACGGGAGGCAGCAGAGGUGAAACGUCCGGAAUGGGCGGAAAACUGACGGAGCAAGGGCGAGUGAGUGAGGACGGCCUUCGGGUUGGAAAGCUCUGUUUAUCGGGAGGCGGUACCGGAAGAGAAAGCAACGGCUAACUACGUGCCAGCAGCCGCGGUAAUUC